rnacentral:rRNA from 1 species
ACACGUAGGGGGCGAGCGUUGUUCGGAAUCAUUGGGCGUAAAGGGCGCGCAGGCGGCGAGGCAAGUCCGGUGUUAAAUGGUCGGGCUCAACCCGAUCAUGCGCUGGAAACUGGGCGGCUUGAGUCCCGUAGGGGAUGCCGGAAUUCCAGGUGUAGGGGUGAAAUCUGUAGAUAUCUGGAAGAACACCGAUGGCGAAGGCAGGCAUCUGGCCGGAGACUGACGCUGAGGCGCGAAGGCGCGGGGAGCGAACAGGUUUAGAUACCCUGGUAGUCCGCGCAGUAAACGAUGCGCACCAGGUGUCGGGCGGCAGCGCCCGGUACCGGAGCUAACGCGAUGAGUGCGCCGCCUGGGGAGUAUGCCCGCAAGGGUGAAACUCAAAUGAAUUGACGGGG